rnacentral:rRNA from 1 species
UACGUAGGGGGCAAGCGUUGUCCGGAUUUAUUGGGCGUAAAGCGCGUGUAGGCGGCUUGGCAAGUCCGCUGUGAAAACGUCGAGGCUCAACCUCGAGAUGUCGGUGGAAAUUGCUUGGCUAGAGUCCGGGAAGAGGAGUGUGGAAUUCCGUGGUGUAGCGGUGAAAUGCGCAGAUAUCAGGAAGAACACCUAUGGCGAAGGCAGCACUCUGGGACGGUACUGACGCUGAGACGCGAAAGCGUGGGGAGCGAACAGG